AUUAGGCCUCUAAUAGAGGUCUUGAAUGAACGAGUUGACAAUUUUUAGGCUGUCUUAACUUUGGCUGGGAAAUUUAUUUUUAAGUUAAAAAGCUUAACUCUCUAGAAAGACGAUAAGACCCUAUAAAGCUUUACUGAUGUAAUUAAUAAAAAGAGAAAAUUUUGUAAAAUUAGUUAAGCUGGGGCGGUGAUAAAAAUUCUUUUAUAAAGAUAACAAAAUAUGUGAGUUGAGAGAUCUAAAAAGAUAUAGAAUAAGCUACUUUAGGGAUAACAGCGCAAUCUUUUUAGAGAGAUCCUAUUGAUAAAAAGGACUUGCGACCUCGAUGUUGAAUUGAGGGGCCUAAAUUAAGCAAAAAUAAUUUAAGGGAGUCUGUUCGACUUUUAAUUCCUCA
rnacentral:rRNA from 1 species